UUUCCUUCAUUGUUUUGGCCUUGAGCUCAUUGGGUAGUUUACUUCACUGGGUUUUGAUUGUAUGCAGACACAAAUUCUCACUCAAGUAGAAAGUGCUUCUAUAUUUUACUAAUGCUUGUAGUGUGUCAUCUAUGAGCAGGCCCGUGAGGCUGAAAUUUCUGUACAGGGGAAAUUGGGAAAUUGCAGAACAAGUUGUUGAUUACUGGUACUCCAUUACAGAACAGUGUGGAAGAGUUGUGAUGUAGUUUCAGAGCUUACCAGGAAAACAGAGAUCACAGUGCACUGCAAAUUGAGUUCACGACAACAAGCUUUUUAUCGAGCUAUCAAGAACAAGAUAUCUCUUUCUGAGUUAUUUGACAACAAUCGUGGACAACUUAAUGACAAAAAACUCCUUAAUUUAAUGAAUAUUGUCAUUCAGCUAAGGAAGGUCUGUAAUCAUCCAGAGUUAUUCGAAAGGAGUGAGGGAAGCACAUAUCUCUACUUUGGUGAGAUUCCCAUCGCCCUUUUUCCUGCCCCCUUUGGGGAAUUGGAGGAUGUACACUACUCAG